rnacentral:rRNA from 1 species
ACUUACGGCCAUACCGCCCUGUCUGUGCCUGAUCUCGGAAGUUAAGCAGGGUCGGGCCUGGUUAGUACUUGGAUGGGAGACCGCCUCGGAAUACCAGGUGCUGUAAGCU